GGAGAGAUGGCAGAGUGGUCGAAUGCGGCGGUCUCGAACACCGUUAAACCAAUAGGUUUCGAGGGUUCGAAUCCCUCUUUCUCCGCAA
rnacentral:tRNA from 3 species